rnacentral:rRNA from 1 species
CGAGCCGACAGAUAAGGAGCUUGCUCCUUUGACGUUAGCGGCGGACGGGUGAGUAACACGUGGGUAACCUACCUAUAAGACUGGAAUAACUUCGGGAAACCGAAGCUAAUGCCGGAUAACAUGUAGAACCGCAUGGUUCUACAGUGAAAGAUGGCUUUGCUAUCACUUAUAGAUGGACCCGCGCCGUAUUAGCUAGUUGGUAAGGUAACGGCUUACCAAGGCAACGAUACGUAGCCGACCUGAGAGGGUGAUCGGCCACACUGGAACUGAGACACGGUCCAGACUCCUACGGGAGGCAGCAGUAGGGAAUCUUCCGCAAUGGGCGAAAGCCUGACGGAGCAACGCCGCGUGAGUGAUGAAGGUCUUCGGAUCGUAAAGCUCUGUUAUUAGGGAAGAACAAGUGCGUAAGUAACUGUGCGCACCUUGACGGUACCUAAUCAGAAAGCCACGGCUAACUACGUGCCAGCAGCCGCGGUAAUACGUAGGUGGCAAGCGUUAUCCGGAAUUAUUGGGCGUAAAGCGCGCGUAGGCGGUUUCUUAAGUCUGAUGUGAAAGCCCACGGCUCAACCGUGGAGGGUCAUUGGAAACUGGGAGACUUGAGUGCAGAAGAGGAAAGUGGAAUUCCAUGUGUAGCGGUGAAAUGCGCAGAGAUAUGGAGGAACACCAGUGGCGAAGGCGACUUUCUGGUCUGUAACUGACGCUGAUGUGCGAAAGCGUGGGGAUCAAACAGGAUUAGAUACCCUGGUAGUCCACGCCGUAAACGAUGAGUGCUAAGUGUUAGGGGGUUUCCGCCCCUUAGUGCUGCAGCUAACGCAUUAAGCACUCCGCCUGGGGAGUACGACCGCAAGGUUGAAACUCAAAGGAAUUGACGGGGACCCGCACAAGCGGUGGAGCAUGUGGUUUAAUUCGAAGCAACGCGAAGAACCUUACCAAAUCUUGACAUCCUUUGACCACUCUGGAGACAGAGCUUUCCCCUUCGGGGGACAAAGUGACAGGUGGUGCAUGGUUGUCGUCAGCUCGUGUCGUGAGAUGUUGGGUUAAGUCCCGCAACGAGCGCAACCCUUAAGCUUAGUUGCCAUCAUUAAGUUGGGCACUCUAAGUUGACUGCCGGUGAC